CCUAGGCACUGUGCUGGCAACAUCAUGCGCUCUGGACCCUUGUCCUUCAUGGCCAGUAAAAUCUGCUAGGGAAAGGAAGGUUUCUAAUCUCUGCAAUAAUGACUCGAAUAUCGCAUUCCAGAUGUUUCCAAAGAGCUGUGUGGAGAAAUGCCUGCUGUUUUCUGAUGUGGCAACUGUUCCAAUUCCAGCCCAAAGCAUUCUGGGUUUUUAGCAUGACAUUUGGCUGUCCACAUUUGCAUCUUGUCCUCUACUGUGAACGGCUUCACUAGAAAUUCAUUACAAUCUCUUGUGUGGAGUACAAUCCUAAUCCAAAGCAUGUUUACACAGAAGUUCCAUCCUUUGUGUUGCUGAGACUGAUUUGCUGACUACCAGGAGUGGUGGUGAGAUGCCUUUCAAAUGUUUAGACUUUGUCGGAUCAGCUCCUCUAACGUGUUUCUA